rnacentral:rRNA from 1 species
AGAGUUUGAUCAUGGCUCAGAACGUACGCUGGCGGCAUGCCUAACACAUGCAAGUCGAACGCAGUAGCAAUACUGAGUGGCAGACGGGUGCGUAACAUGUGGGAAUCUGCCUUGUGGUUCAGGACAACAUUGGGAAACUGAUGCUAAUACUGGAUAAGCCCUUACGGGGAAAGUUUUAAUGCCAUAAGAUGAGCCCGCACUUGAUUAGCUUGUUGGUGAGGUAAAAGCUCACCAAGGCAAUGAUCAAUAGCUGAUCUGAGAGGAUGAUCAGCCACACUGGGACUGAGACACGGCCCAGACUCCUACGGGAGGCAGCAGUGGGGAAUUUUGCACAAUGGAGGAAACUCUGAUGCAGCGAUGCCGCGUGAGUGAAGAAGGCCUUUGGGUUGUAAAGCUCUUUUGUGGGGGAAGAUAAUGACGGUACCCCAAGAAUAAGAUCCGGCUAACUUCGUGCCAGCAGCCGCGGUAAUACGAAGGGAUCUAGCGUAGUUCGGAAUUACUGGGCGUAAAGCGCGCGUAGGCGGUUUAGAAAGUUAAUUGUGAAAUCCCAAAGCUUAACUUUGGAACAGCAAUUAAAACUUCUAAACUAGAGUUUGAUAGAGGGAAGCGGAAUACAUAGUGUAGAGGUGAAAUUCGUAGAUAUUAUGUAGAACACCAGUUGCGAAGGCGGCUUCCUGGGUCAACACUGACGCUGAGGUGCGAAAGUAUGGGUAGCAAAGAGGAUUAGAUACCCUCGUAGUCCAUACCUUAAACGAUGAUUGCUAGAUGUUGGAAUUUUUUUUCAGUAUCGCAGCUAACGCGUUAAGCAAUCCGCCUGGGGAGUACGACCGCAAGGUUAAAACUCAAAUGAAUUGACGGGGACCCGCACAAGCGGUGGAUCAUGUGGUUUAAUUCGAAGAUACGCGCAGAACCUUACCAACCCUUGACAUGCCUAUUACGAGUUUAGGAAACUAGACUUUUCGGUUCGGCCGGAUAGGACACAGGUGCUGCAUGGCUGUCGUCAGCUCGUGUCGUGAGAUGUUGGGUUAAGUCCCGCAACGAGCGCAACCCUUGCCCUUAGUUGCCACCAUUAAGUUGGGCACUCUGGGGGGACUGCCGGUGUUAAACCGGAGGAAGGCGGGGAUGACGUCAAGUCCUCAUGGCCCUUACGUCCAGGGCUACACACGUACUACAAUGGCAGAGACAAUGGGUCGCGAAGCCGCGAGGUGAAGCUAAUCCCAAAAACACUGUCUCAGUCCGGAUUGAAGUCUGCAACUCGACUUCAUGAAGCUGGAAUCGCUAGUAAUCGCAGAUCAGCACGCUGCGGUGAAUACGUUCCCGGGCCUUGUACACACCGCCCGUCACACCACGAAAGUGAUUAUAACCAGAAGCAGGUGAGCCAACCGCAAGGGGGCAGCCUACCAAGGUUGUAGUCGUGAUUGGGGUG